UACAGAGGGUGCAAGCGUUGUCCGGAUUUAUUGGGCGUAAAGCGUCUGUAGGUUGUUUAUCAAGUCUGAAGUGAAAGAAUGGAGCUCAACUCCAUCCCCGCUUUGGAAACUGGUUAACUAGAGAAUGUUAGAGGUAAGUGGAAUUCCUAGUGUAGCGGUGAAAUGCGUAGAUAUUAGGAAGAACACCAGAGGCGAAGGCG
rnacentral:rRNA from 1 species